UACGGAGGGGGCAAGCGUUAUUCGGAAUUAUUGGGCGUAAAGGGCGCGUAGGCGGCUAGAUGUGUCAAAGGUGAAAUCCCUCGGCUCAACUGAGGAACUGCCUUUGAAACUGUCUGGCUUGAGGCCGGGAGAGGGUAGCGGAAUUCCCAGUGUAGCGGUGAAAUGCGUAGAUAUCAGGAGGAACACCGGUGGUGUAGACGGCUCUCUGGACCGUAACUGACGCUGAGACACGAAAGCGUGGGUAGCAAACAGG
rnacentral:rRNA from 1 species